GCGUCUGUUUGACAGGCCUGGAGCAGUUAAUGUCUGUUUCUAAGAUUGCCCCUACAGACGAGAGAGAAUAGCUCUUUGUGCUUUCUUCCAUCUGAUUGUAGCUGCUGAAAUUAAAUUGGGGAAAACAGGA
rnacentral:snoRNA from 1 species